rnacentral:rRNA from 1 species
UGCGUAGGCGGCCCGAUUAGUCAGAGGUGAAAGCCUAUAGCUUAACUAUAGAAUUGCCUUUGGUACUGUCGGGCUUGAAUUAGGACGAGGUCAGCGGAAUGUGACAUGUAGCGGUGAAAUGCAUAGAUAUGUCAUAGAACACCAAUUGCGAAGGCAGCUGACUAGACCUUGAUUGACGCUGAGGCACGAAAGCGUGGGGAGCGAACA